rnacentral:tRNA from 1 species
GCAUUGGUGGGCGAGUGGUAGAAUAGUAACCUGCCAUGCUUGGGACCCGGGUUCGAAUCCCGGCUGGUGCA